rnacentral:lncRNA from 1 species
GGAACAUAUAAGGAGAGAAGUUAAUUCUCACUGAGGGAAUUGGGAUCAGCUUUAGAGAGGAGAUAGCAUUUGAACAAAUUCCAGAAGGCCAGUAGGGAUUUAGACAGGAGAUCUUGGAGAGAAGACAUGCUAGUCUGGGAGUGCCAACAUGGCUUGAAGGCAGAGGACGGGCAAUAGGAGGUGUUAGGAGUUAGCUUGGCUGUGGCUGGUAAAUGUGCAGAAGCACAGUGGAAGGUCAGUCCAGAGAGGGAGUGACAGCACAGCCUGGAGGAUGGAGGGUGAUGCAUGCCAGCUUAAGAAGCUGUGUUUUUACUGUUAGUUCUGACCAGUUUUUAGAAAAACUAAUCUACUAAUAAUAUGGAGGCAGGGGUGAGGAUGGAAGAAAUAUUGGAAGUCGACUAGAAGGAGGUGAGUGCACAGUUUGCUCAGGAGGUGAUGACACACUGAUUAGCGCUGGCAGAGAGAUGUGGGGGAGAUAUUAAGACACCCCUAGAGUGUGAGGAGGACUUUUUACAGCUUCCGGAGAGGAAAAAGUGGUUAUCAUGGGUCUACAGGGCUCUUUGAGCCUUCCCCAGAUGUGGAACAGAGAAAGUUUGAAGUAGAUGCCAUUUUAAGAGCCAGGACAUGGAUUCUCCCUCUCUGCAAAACAUCCUUGCAAACUCUCGAGGGAAACCAGUGCUUCAUGUUGUUAAAGUUUUACAAGUUAUGGCAUAAAUUGUUCUUCAAGUGCCAAAUGUAGUGACCAAUAAAUCACCGAGAGGAUUCUCUGAGAUUUGCAAUUGUGGAAUUAUAGAUUUUGUACCUAGUCUUGGAUGCACUGAGCUGGGUCUACUCUGAGGCAGCAAGCUGCAACCCUGCCCUGUCCAGUCACCUCACUGUCACCUGGAAGAAUCCUGUUCUUUAGUGGGAAUAAGUCACAGACGUCCUCAAAGGUGAACGCUCCAGGUGCACCCCAGAGAGCUGCCCCAUUAGCUCUGACUGGCUGAUGCUGUGUUUGGCUCCAAGCACUUCUCGCUAUAAAUCCACCACAGGUGUCCUCACUCUCCAUCACCCAGUCCUUUGUUCCGUCAUUGCCUCAUAUUCAUUUAGCAAGGCUUCACUGAGAACUUAGAGGCUCGCUGCUUCCCUGUGGGGCUACAACAGUAAACACCACAGACAGGCUCUGGUGGCGAAGACAGACAAACAGACCAGGAACUACAAAACACCUCGAAAAGUGCUCUGAUGGGAGAAACACAGAGUGCCGAGGGAACAUGUGGGAGAGGCGUUGGGGAAAUUUCUGGAAGGAAGUGGCCAGGUGAGAACUUCAGUCAUUUUGGAUGAGUUCCUCUCCCUAUGCUCCAGCCCCACAUACUAUCUUCGCUGUGACAUCUACCAGGUCAGUCCUCUCCUUUCUAUUAUUUCCCAUAAAUAAUUUUUCCAACAGCUUCUCUGGGAGGCAGAGUUAGGAACCCAGGCAGGCCCGGACAUUCCCGCUGUGUGGCCUUGAGCAAGUCACCGAACCCCCCUCAGUCUCAAUUUCUUCAUCUAAAAAAUGGGGACAACAACGCCUUACUCGCAGAUACAUCUUGAAAAACAAAUAAGAUAAUAUUUUAAAAAACAGCCCAAGGCCUGGCAUUUAAAAGAUAAUCAUUCCAGUUUCCUUUCUGAGCCUGCAGUCUCUUCUUUUGUUUAACAUACUCUCCUCACAGCUGCCAAACUCAUCUCCCCCAAACUUUAAUCUUAUCUCUCCCUUGCUCAAACAUUUUCAGAUCCCAUAGCCUAUGGAAUAAAGGCUGUCAGUCAGGAUCCCUGCAGAAAUGACUGAAGAGAACAGAAGGAAGGAGAAAGGCAGGGGUUCCAGGAGCACAGGGCAGGGGCCUCGCUCACACAGGCCGUUGGACAUCUGGAAGGUUCCCCGAGGAAGUGAUCCCAGAGCGGAGAGAUAAAGGCUGAACUAGGCAAGAAAAAGGUGAGAGUUCCUUGAAGCUUCACUGCAAUUCCCCAGCCACAGAGUGUCUGAAGACUGCUGCAGGUCCAGUUUGAGUUGCUUUUACUCUCCAGGAACACACAGAUGUGACUAAAAAAAUCUGCAUUCCCCUAAAGUAACAGCAUUCAUGCUACUCCAGAGACCCAGACAAAGGGGAAUUAAGCUUGCUUGAACUUGAGCCUGGGGACCAGGAUGCUGAUGGAGGCUUUGCAGAUUCUUGGGUCUCCAUGGAGACGAACAGACUCUGGCAAAAUUUCCUUCUUGGGAGAAAGGCAGUGUUGGCUGCUUUCUUUCCUCUGGCCACCCUGAGAAUGCAAGACUCAUAAAAGUGCUGUGUAUAGAUUCUCUGCAGACACGGGGCCAUUUUGUACCAUUUCUGGCCUCUUCAGAGCCCUCCUGAAGUGCUCUCUGGCAUCCAGCAUCCAGGGUGUCCAGCUGCCUCCACAAACAGCGAGAGCUCAUCAGUAAUGGGUGACACUAGUCACACAACAAAGAGCCAUGUGUCUGGUUCAUAGCACCUUAUCCAAAGUGAAUGCUCACUAUGGUUUUUAGCAAAAAAUGUGUGGAG